rnacentral:rRNA from 1 species
GAGUUUGAUCCUGGCUCAGAUUGAACGCUGGCGGCAUGCCUUACACAUGCAAGUCGAGCGGCAGCGCGGGGGCAACCCUGGCGGCGAGCGGCGAACGGGUGAGUAAUGCAUCGGAACGUGUCCUCUUGUGGGGGAUAACCAGUCGAAAGACUGGCUAAUACCGCAUGAGAUCGAGAGAUGAAAGCAGGGGACCGCAAGGCCUUGCGCGAGAGGAGCGGCCGAUGCCGGAUUAGCUAGUUGGUGGGGUAACGGCCUACCAAGGCGACGAUCCGUAGCUGGUCUGAGAGGACGACCAGCCACACUGGGACUGAGACACGGCCCAGACUCCUACGGGAGGCAGCAGUGGGGAAUUUUGGACAAUGGGGGCAACCCUGAUCCAGCCAUGCCGCGUGUGUGAAGAAGGCC